UGGCAGAGAAGCUAGAUCUUGACUGGGAGACAAUAUCUAGAAUCUCAUUCCAUUCGACUGUGAAACCCUCCUUCAGAAUCCCUCCAAUUAGUUCCUUCCACACCUUACUCGAGUAACGACAUUUGAAAAAGAGAUGAUGACAGGUUUCCUGCUCAUCUUGGCAUAGUACACAAGUGGUAUCCAAUGAAGUGUUCCACUGCUGCAUUCUAUCACAGGUUU
rnacentral:lncRNA from 1 species